AUAUCUUUCUCAUCCUUUUGGCUAAGAUAAGGUGUAGUAUACUAAUAUUUGUUCUUUUCGGUUUAAUAUCUGAUAUGUGGACCAUAUUCUCACUCUGAUAUUAAAUUUAUUUAAAUAUAAUAUAUGUACGAUACAAGUCAUUGGAAAAUAAUGAACACAUACUUUUUUCACACAAACGGACAGGAGUGUGUGAUUGCA
rfam:Zea mays cultivar B73 chromosome 6, whole genome shotgun sequence.